UCCGAGUUGACCCCGGCAGUCUCCUGUGAGUCCCCGCCAUAACGCGCUGGCAACACAGAACGAGGGUUGCGCUCGUUGCGGGACUUAACCCAACAUCUCACGACACGAGCUGACGACAACCAUGCACCACCUGCACGCGAGCCCGAAGGCGCCACCAUCUCUGAUGACUUCCCGCGCAUGUCAAGCCUUGGUAAGGUUCUUCGCGUUGCAUCGAAUUAAGCCACAUGCUCCGCCGCUUGUGCGGGCCCCCGUCAAUUCCUUUGAGUUUUAGCCUUGCGGCCGUACUCCCCAGGCGGGGAACUUAAUGCGUUAGCUGCGGCGCAGAGCACGUGGAAUGCACCCCACACCUAGUUCCCAACGUUUACAGCGUGGACUAC
rnacentral:misc_RNA from 1 species